rnacentral:tRNA from 1 species
GUCUUCAUGGUGUAACUGGAAGCAGGCUCGAUUCGUAUUCGGGGGAACCAGAGUUCGAAUCACAGUGAAGGCA